UCAGGGUGGUAGGAGCCUGAUGUGGAGGGGCAUCUUCAUUUCUUAGUGGUCAGGAAACUGAGAGAGGGGUUGGGAGGUACAGGAAGCGCGCCUCCCCCCCGCCCCCCGCCCCCGAGAUAUAGCCACGGGGAUAUUCCUAACCUACUUCCUAUCCCUAAGACCCAACUCCUGAUGUUUUCAGAGCCUCCCAGAACAGUGCUGACAGCUGAGGAUUAGCCUUACAAUGUGUGUGUCUCUGCGCAGGGGCAAACCGUGACAGAAACCAAGCAGUGUGAUUGUUGAAGCUGAUCUCCAACCAUUCGCUAAUUAAAAAUGUAGGUUCAAAGAAAUAAACAGCAGUGGCUUGAAUGUAGUGAAUGGAGGGACGUGCUUCCCCUGACACGCUUGAGGUGGGGACUGUGGCCCUCGCCCACCGAGAGCCUUUCAAGCAGGAGGAAGACCAAAGCCAGCAGCAACCUCCCAGACCCCAUCAGCCAUGGUGACCCAUUCUCAGCCCAGUCCUGAAGGCUGAAAAAUUUGUUAUUAUGACUUAUACUUCUCAACAAGUCACAACUUGUUGAGGUCUCCCUGGAUGACUGAGUAAAUGGAUGAAGAAAGCAUGUGUCCAGAUUAUUAUAGGAAUCAACUGAACUUGAUAUUAAAAAGUGUGGACACAAAAAGUGAACCAUAUCACUAAUGUUGAGGAUUCCUUGCUCCUCCCAGCAGUCUGGUCCUCCACAUGGAGCAGCAGUUCCUAUGGUUUUAGGAAGAAUUUCCUGGCAUAGAAGCAAAAGAUGAGCUUCAACUCCACCCCACAGAAUGACAUCAAGCCUGGACUAAUGAGCUGGAGAAUGCUUUCCUGCCGUGUUUUCUGAAAUGCUCCUUAUAGGAGAGAUAUGGAAUCUGCUGUUGAUCUUGGUCAUGGAAGGAUGCUGGCUUUGCCAGUCCUCUCCAGGAAAGGAAACAUUAGCCCACAGAUCAGAAACGGGGGAAAAAGAAGGUUAAUAGGAAAAGGAAGUUGGAGACCUGUUUAAAAGUAGUUCCCUGGGACAAUUCAACUCUUGUCAGGAUACGAACAGUCUCGUUCAAUAGCAAACACCAAACACAAAUGAAUAUGGCUGCCCGAUCCACCAGAAACAGCAAGGCUCUGCUGAAUAGGCACAAGUCAGCAGAAGUGGCCAGAAUCCGCUGGAACACCACAAGACCUUUGGCACGUUUCUCUCUACGAAAUGAACACCAGUGAAGCAUUGUACAGCCUAGCAAUAUGACCUUGAGCCUGUGAUGCAUCCUGCCUAGAAGCUUUGUAUGCACAUCCAGAACAACUGCUCUCCAUCCUACGGAGUGAUGUGCAUAAUGUGGGCUUUUUACCGCUGUAAUGAUGGCAGGUGACGGGGGAUAUGGCAUUUAGUAGCCAAGAGACCAAGAUGCCAGCUGUCUCAAUGCAUAGACCCCUCCAUAGUAACCAAGUGCCUCAUCUCCUGUAUGAUCUCCCAGUGUGUUUGUAGACAUAUCACAGAGUGGAGAAACAAACAAAGAAACAAACACUAAAAACCUCUGUAUACGGUUGGAGUUGAAAACCUAACUCUAAGUUAGAUGGAAAAGGAAGCCAUUGUUGUAUAUAGAUUUCAUAAAUUUUCCUAAAUUCAUAAAUUUUCCAUGAAUGCAACUG